rnacentral:rRNA from 1 species
GUAGUCAUAUGCUUGUCUCAAAGAUUAAGCCAUGCAUGUCUAAGUAUAAGCAAUUAUACCGCGAAACUGCGAAUGGCUCAUUAUAUAAGUUAUCGUUUAUUUGAUAGUACCUUACUACUUGGAUAACCGUGGUAAUUCUAGAGCUAAUACAUGCUAAAAAUCCCGACUUCGGAAGGGAUGUAUUUAUUAGAUUAAAAACCAAUGCCCUCCGGGGCUCACUGGUGAUUCAUGAUAACUUCUCGAAUCGCAUGGCCUUGCGCCAGCGAUGGUUCAUUCAAAUUUCUUCCCUAUCAACUUUCGAUGUUUGGGUAUUGGCCAAACAUGGUUGCAACGGGUAACGGGGAAU